AUUGAACGCUGGCGGCAGGCUUAACACAUGCAAGUCGAGCGAGCGGCGGACGGGUGAGUAAUGCUUAGGAAUCUGCCUAUUAGUGGGGGACAACAUCUCGAAAGGGAUGCUAAUACCGCAUACCAUCAGAUGUGCCCAGAUGGGAGUAGCUAGGAGGUGGGGUAACGGCUCACCUAGGCGACGAUCCCUAGCUGGUCUGAGAGGAUGACCAGCCACACUGGAACUGAGACACGGUCCAGACUCCCACGGGAGGCAGCAGUGGGGAAUAUUGCACAAUGGGCGGAAGCCUGAUGCAGCAAUGCCGCGUGUGUGAAGAAGGCCUUCGGGUUGUAAAGCACUUUCGGCGGGGAGGCGUUACCCACAGAAGAAGCACCGGCUAACUCCGUGCCAGCAGCCGCGGUAAUUC
rnacentral:rRNA from 1 species